UAAAUAAAUAAAAUCCGAUGAUGGGUUGUCAUUUUUCCCUCAUUUUCUCGAGAAAAUAAAUUUCCAAUCUUUACACUGAGAUUCUCUUCUCAAAAUUUCUUCCCACUUUAAUUUUUUCCCCUUCUCAUUGUUUGUUUCCACUGAUUUCUCCAUAUCCCCGUCGUGGAGAACGCUUUGACCUUUCUUAGAUUUGUUCUUCCAAUCCAAAGUUUUUAUCUUUUUUUCAGAUUUUUAAGUUGGAGCAUGGUUUUUAGUCAACUGAGUCUCUUCCAAAUCUUUAAAUUGUUCUAAAUCUUUUCUGGGUUGAAAAUUUUUGCAUUUUUGUGUCUGUGUCUGUUUGUGUGUGGUUGUUGGUGGAUAUGGAUUCUAAGGAUAUUAAUGGUUGCCUCAUGGAUAAACAUAAACCUGUGGUGACAUCUUCUUUGGUUUGUGAAAAGGUUGAAGAUCAUGUCAACGGAGAAGAUGAUAGUGAUUCCAAUUCUUUGUUGCCUCCUCGGAGAGGUGGCAUGUCCAGAAACUGUGAAAAGACUCGCCGGAAAGUGCAGUGGAAUGAUAGGAAUGGAAACAAGCUUGCUGAGGUGUUGGAAUAUGAGCCAAGUGAUGUCAGUGAUUCAGAAGAUGAGGAUUCAGAUUCUUGCAUCUGUGCAAUAAUGUAGAAACCAUCUUCAUAAUUGUCUCAAGCUCUGCUGGAUCAGGGGACAUUAUUGUGGCUUGCCAACCCUGAUUACAACCAAAACAUGACAACUUGACAGGUUUGAUCUGUGUUUUGAGGUGGGACCAGCAGUCCAAUAAACCAAGACAAGCAGUUUCUCAUGUCUACCAAGCCAUGGAUCCAGUUCAUCAUACUGGGUUUUGAGAUGAUUUCAUAGAGGGACUUUGGGAUCUUGGAUGUAGAUCAAAAUACACAUGAUAGAAAUAUGAUUUGGACAGCGGAGAUGGCUUUCAUGCUUACCCCCAUCUACUGAUACUGUAAAAGCUGUGCUCUCAAUGGCUUUGAUCAUAAUCUUUCUAAAUUAAAGAGGAGACACAACUAUUAAAUAUUUCCUUUUGUUUUUUUGGUUCCUCAAUAUAUGGAACAAGUUUUCAUGAUUUGGGUAUUCAUUCUCAAAUAAUUAUGCUGAAACAGUCCUUGUGUACUGCUUGCAUCUUUGCUGUUGAAUAAACGUUUAUAUUCAGUUAUACUUUUUAUGUGAAUCUACUCUUCAUAUCAA